rnacentral:lncRNA from 1 species
UUGUAUUGCACAUGAAUUCUUUUUUGAUGAGGUAUAUAACAAGUUAUUAAGAUAUUGGAGGAACUAAAAAAUUUAUUAAUAGUUACAUUUUCUUGUAGGUAUUGUGAUCAAGUUAUUGCUUGCACCCUAUUUUCAAAUCCUACUAAAUAACUUGACCAUGCUUGAGAGUCCUGUCUAGAUGUGAAGAAUUGAUUAGCAUCAUCAUUUUUUAUAUAUAUUGAAAAUAUCAUUUGUAAAUAAUAAUAAUAUAAAUUCCUUCUUG